ensembl:lncRNA
CACAGGCGUGCAUCUACACAAUCUUUAGUUCAUAAAACAGGUCAUUCUAACCUACCAAAAAAAGAUGUCCACCGGGCUGCCGAUAGCUGCCAUGGUAACUCCCUUGACGCCGGGGACAGAUGAGGGUUGGCCAUCGGAUCAACAUUGGCUAGCAGCGUUUACCAGCCACCAACUUCCAUCUAUAAGUACAACAACUUUCCUGGACCACAACACCAUGUUCGCAUCGCUAGGUCAAGCUGAGCUAGGCUGAGCUCAUGGAUUCCUCCCUUGCAUUCCAUUUCAUUAUUCCAUUCAUUUUUAUAUUUUAUUUUUUUACAUUUUUAUUAUUUAUUAUCUAGUAUGUAUCGUCACCCAUUGCGUUGCUUUGAUUGUCCUGAUAUGUAUUGUUAGCACUGUCCUGUCAUGUUGCACUGUUUGUUGAAACGCACGUUGGAUCGCUGAGACAAAUUCCUAUAAUGUUCGCAUUAAUGGCGAUAAAUGGUAACAUUAAAUAGCUGUGUCCAAGAAGAACCAUGAGGCAAAUAUUCCAUAAGGUGAACUUUUUAUGUUAAGUUAUUUCGAUAAAUAAAAGGCAGUAAUUGUAGCAGUAAUUGUACCAAUGACCAUUCGUUCAUUAAUUCAUUCACAAAUGGAAACAACACUGAUCAACCAUAAAAACCUUAUAAAAAAAAAGAAAGAAAUAUGAAAUAAAAAACAUUACAAAACAAUAAGGAAUUACAGAAUAAUGCAUGAGGCAAUAAGACACUUCUAGUCCUCACUGUCGGUGUCCGGACAGUUGUCAUGUUCCUUUUCCUCUGUGUCUUUUGUUUUUGCACAAUUGGUACAAUGACACAAGUCAGUGCAACACAGUCCUGCAGAGAAACAGGAACAUCUGCUUUUCUCACAGGCAUUCUCCUUGCAGCUGCAGUAUAUCACAUGCAAAAAACUGUCAGCGGCUGGAUUUCUUGUCAUCCAGGUGACGUGCAAGUUCCCAUCCUCUAUUUGCCAACCAUUUCCAGCAGGUGAUGGAGCACUGAUAUUCCUUUUGAGAAAGGUCCUAAUUAUUGGCCACUUAUGGCCUACAAUCCCAGAAGCAGGGCCGGGGAUUGGCAUAGGCGACCUAGGCGAUCGCUUAGGGCGACAAAUGUGUUGGGGGCGCCCUCUCGUGGCGCCAUUAAUUCAUUUAAUUUAAUUUAAUUUAAUUUAAUUAAACAAGCAAAUAAAACAUGUUUAUUAAACAUGAUCAGGGGCAAAUUGAAACCAUUACUGAAGCUCGCAGGGAAAUGCAGCAAUUGUGCACGUCCCAGGGCAGUGCGGGGGAAAAAUUGUGUGCCGCCAUAAGCCUUUGCCGUUAACUGCACCAUCAUGCAAAAAUAGGUCCCUAUACCCAACAUAUCAUCGCAUUUCUAGAUGCACUUCAUGAUGCAGCUGUACAGGACAGAUCAGAGCAGCCCAUGUUUGUUGUUUUUCUGGUCCGGAACUGGUUCACCAUCCAUUAUCAAUUUGAAGUCGUAUAUACCUGCCCCCUUACUUGCCAUUUCUAAAUCCCUAUAGAUGAUUAUUUUUUUAAUCACACCCGCAUGCCUCUUCUGCAGGCAAUGGAACAGGCCUGUGGAGACAUUGAGGUAAGGUCAAUCCAUAGAUGGAUUCUGCACACAAGCCGAGGAUCCAUAGGAUACACCACGCACAAUAGCUGUGUUUUCUCUGUUUACAGUAGGCCUACAUUAGUGUAUUUUUGUUUUAUUUUUUGCUCAAACUGAAUUUAUUGCACUGUAAAGUACCGUACUGCAAUGCACAGUAUUGAGUGGGCCUAUUUCCUUUUUUGGUUGUUGCGAAAACGUGCC